rnacentral:rRNA from 1 species
AUAGCCUUUCGAAAGAAAGAUUAAUACCCGAUGGCAUAGUUCUUCCGCAUGGUAGAACUAUUAAAGAAUUUCGGUCAUCGAUGGGGAUGCGUUCCAUUAGGUUGUUGGCGGGGUAACGGCCCACCAAGCCUUCGAUGGAUAGGGGUUCUGAGAGGAAGGUCCCCCACAUUGGAACUGAGACACGGUCCAAACUCCUACGGGAGGCAGCAUG